ACGGGUGAGUAACACGUAGCUAAUCUACCUCAAAGCGCGGGAUAACGUGUCGAAAGACAGGCUAAUACCGCAUAAGCUCACGAUCUGCAGAGGGUUGUGAGAAAAGGCUUCGGUCACUUUGAGAUGAGGCUGCGGCCCAUCAGCUAGUUGGUGAGGUAACGGCUUACCAAGGCAACGACGGGUAGGGGACCUGAGAGGGUGACCCCCCACACUGGGACUGAGACACGGCCCAGACUCCUACGGGAGGCAGCAGUGAGGAAUAUUGCACAAUGGGCGAAAGCCUGAUGCAGCGACGCCGCGUGGGUGAAGAAGGUUUUCGGAUCGUAAAACCCUUUUCUGUGUGACGAGCAAGGACGGUAGCACAGGAAUAAGUCUCGGCUAACUACGUGCCAGCAGCCGCGGUAAAACGUAGGAGACAAACGUUAUCCGGAGUUACUGGGCGUAAAGGGCGUGUAGGUGGUUUCGUAAGUCUGGCGUGAAAUUUCUCGGCUUAACCGAGGCAGGUCGUCGGAUACUGCGGAGCUAGAGGACGGUAGAGGCGUGUGGAAUUCCGGGUGUAGUGGUGAAAUGCGUAGA
rnacentral:rRNA from 1 species